CACGUAGGGUGCGAGCGUUGUCCGGAAUUAUUGGGCGUAAAGAGCUCGUAGGCGGUGUGUCGCGUCGGCCGUGAAAACCUGCAGCUUAACUGUGGGCUUGCGGUCGAUACGGGCAUCACUGGAGUUCGGCAGGGGAGACUGGAAUUCCUGGUGUAGCGGUGAAAUGCGCAGAUAUCAGGAGGAACACCGGUGGCGAAGGCGGGUCUCUGGACAGUUCCUG
rnacentral:rRNA from 1 species